GUGUCAGCAGCCGCGGUAAUACGAAGGAUCCAAGCGUUAUCCGGAUUUAUUGGGUUUAAAGGGUGCGUAGGCGGCCUAUUAAGUCAGUGGUGAAAGCCUGAUGCUCAACAUCAGAACUGCCAUUGAUACUGAUGGGCUUGAAUACACUUGAGGAGGGCGGAAUGUGUCAUGUAGCGGUGAAAUGCUUAGAUAUGACACAGAACACCGAUUGCGAAGGCAGCUCUCUAAGGUGUUAUUGACGCUGAGGCACUAAAGCGUGGGGAGCAAACAGGAUUAGAUACCCCAGUAGUCC
rnacentral:rRNA from 1 species